rnacentral:rRNA from 1 species
GAUGAACGCUGGCGGCGUGCCUAAUACAUGCAAGUCGAGCGAACAGAUAAGGAGCUUGCUCCUUUGACGUUAGCGGCGGACGGGUGAGUAACACGUGGGUAACCUACCUAUAAGACUGGGAUAACUUCGGGAAACCGGAGCUAAUACCGGAUAACAUUUGGAACCGCAUGGUUCUAAAGUGAAAGAUGGUUUUGCUAUCACUUAUAGAUGGACCCGCGCCGUAUUAGCUAGUUGGUAAGGUAACGGCUUACCAAGGCGACGAUACGUAGCCGACCUGAGAGGGUGAUCGGCCACACUGGAACUGAGACACGGUCCAGACUCCUACGGGAGGCAGCAGUAGGGAAUCUUCCGCAAUGGGCGAAAGCCUGGCGGAGCAACGCCGCGUGAGUGAUGAAGGGUUUCGGCUCGUAAAACUCUGUUAUUAGGGAAGAACAAAUGUGUAAGUAACUGUGCACGUCUUGACGGUACCUAAUCAGAAAGCCACGGCUAACUACGUGCCAGCAGCCGCGGUAAUACGUAGGUGGCAAGCGUUAUCCGGAAUUAUUGGGCGUAAAGCGCGCGUAGGCGGUUUCUUAAGUCUGAUGUGAAAGCCCACGGCUCAACCGUGGAGGGUCAUUGGAAACUGGGAAACUUGAGUGCAGAAGAGGAAAGUGGAAUUCCAUGUGUAGCGGUGAAAUGCGCAGAGAUAUGGAGGAACACCAGUGGCGAAGGCGACUUUCUGGUCUGUAACUGACGCUGAUGUGCGAAAGCGUGGGGAUCAAACAGGAUUAGAUACCCUGGUAGUCCACGCCGUAAACGAUGAGUGCUAAGUGUUAGGGGGUUUCCGCCCCUUAGUGCUGCAGCUAACGCAUUAAGCACUCCGCCUGGGGAGUACGACCGCAAGGUUGAAACUCAAAGGAAUUGACGGGGACCCGCACAAGCGGUGGAGCAUGUGGUUUAAUUCGAAGCAACGCGAAGAACCUUACCAAAUCUUGACAUCCUUUGAAAACUCUAGAGAUAGAGCCUUCCCCUUCGGGGGACAAAGUGACAGGUGGUGCAUGGUUGUCGUCAGCUCGUGUCGUGAGAUGUUGGGUUAAGUCCCGCAACGAGCGCAACCCUUAAGCUUAGUUGCCAUCAUUAAGUUGGGCACUCUAGGUUGACUGCCGGUGACAAACCGGAGGAAGGUGGGGAUGACGUCAAAUCAUCAUGCCCCUUAUGAUUUGGGCUACACACGUGCUACAAUGGACAAUACAAAGGGCAGCUAAACCGCGAGGUCAUGCAAAUCCCAUAAAGUUGUUCUCAGUUCGGAUUGUAGUCUGCAACUCGACUACAUGAAGCUGGAAUCGCUAGUAAUCGUAGAUCAGCAUGCUACGGUGAAUACGUUCCCGGGUCU